ensembl:lncRNA
GCAUGAUAGGCAGGCCGUAACAAUCAGUCAGGGCAACCCUGAUCUCACCCUGGACUGCCCUAGGUCACAGGCCCACCUAAAAGGUCACAUUCUUGAGAGACUCUCACUAUGCACAAAUGCCCCCGACAAUCAUGUGAAUGGAAAUUGUAUUUUUCCCUUUUUUAAAGCUUAAGCUGAGCAUAAUGUCUGCAACAUCAUGCUUUUCAGCCCGAAAAUUUGACUUAUUUCAGUCAUCCAGUCCAUUCCUAUUGUGACUAUACUAUUCACAAUACAUUUAUAUGGUGGAGCGUUGAGCAAAAACUGUCUCAUUGUGUGGGUUUCCACCGGCAUUAUCGCAGCCAUUGGUGUUCGCUGCUAUGCAGACUUUGAUUCGACCAUCCCCAGGUCCGGGGGAGACUACUCCUACACCAAAGACAUCUUUGGAGGACUAGCUGGGUUUUUGCUCAAAUGAUUUGUAAACGCUGUGCAAGGUUUCUGCGUCUGUGGGUCGUGGUGUUGGUUAUCUCCCCCACUAACUAGGCGGUGACUGCGCUCACCUUCUCAAGCUACAUCCUGCAGCCGCUCUUCCACCCUUUGCCUUCCCCCGGAAAGUGCCCUGCGCCUGCUGGCUGCUGCCUGCCUGUACACCGCCGCCGACUGCGGAGGUGUUCCGUGUCCCCGGGCCGCCCACUACUGCGGAGGUGUUCCGUGUCCCCGAGCCGGGCCGACCCCCGGUCCGGGCCAGUACCGCCGCCGCCGACUGCGGAGGGGUUCCGUGCCCCCGAGCCCCCGCAGCCGACUGCGGAGGUGUUCCGUGUCCCCGAGCUGCCGCCGCCGACUGCGGAGGUGUUCAGUGUCCCCGGGCCGCCGACUACUGCGCAGUCUUUUAGCAGAUUCUGCUGUGCAUCAGAGAGCCUGACAUGCAUCGACCAUCAAGGUGAACCUGAUUUGGCCGACGAUCUACAUGCUGUUCUGGACCUUCCUCUUGGUCUUCUCCGCGUACUCCGAGCCUGUCGUCUCCUGUACUGGUGUGGCUGUCAUGUUGACUGGUGUCCCUGUAUAUUUCCUGGGAGUACUCGGAAAACAAGCCCAAGUGUUGUGAUAUUACCAUUGGUAAAAUUACUCAUUUGUCCCAAAAGCUGUGUUCGGUGGUCCAGCCGGAGGAGAGAUGGGAGCCCUGCGAGCCACAAAACAAAGACUGAGACCACAACAAUGAUAAUGAAGAAGACCGAUUGAAACAUGCAUAAUCAAACACUCACUAUGAUGCUCACUUUGGGCUUAAAGAAAAAAAAGUGGUACCUGGGGAAGUGAGAGAAAUGAAUAUACAUCUUCGUGUUAGUGUCAAAAUAUUUUAACAUGUAAGUUGUAUGUAUUGUUAAAGCUUGUUUAUACGCUUAAAAAAAUUAAAAUGAAAAUUACCUGAUUUUUUUUUUCUUUGGAUUUGAACCACGUUAUAUAA